ACGGGAGGCAGCAGUCGGGAAUAUUGCGCAAUGGAGGAAACUCUGACGCAGUGACGCCGCGUGCAGGAAGAAGGUUUUCGGAUUGUAAACUGCUUUAGACGAGGAAGAAAAAAGACAGUACUUGUAAAAUAAGCUCCGGCUAACUACGUGCCAGCAGCCGCGGUAAUACGUAGGGAGCAAGCGUUAUCCGGAUUUAUUGGGUGUAAAGGGUGCGUAGACGGUAAAGCAAGUUAGUUGUGAAAUCCCUCGGCUUAACUGAGGAACUGCAACUAAAACUACUUUUCUUGAGUGCUGGAGAGGAAAGUGGAAUUCCUAGUGUAGCGGUGAAAUGCGUAGAUAUUAGGAGGAACACCAGUGGCGAAGGCGACUUUCUGGACAGUAACUGACGUUGAGGCUCGAAAGCGUGGGGAGCAAACAGGAUUAGAUACCCUGGUA
rnacentral:rRNA from 1 species